GCUUCACCUGCUUACUGCCUUUGGGCUACAACAGUAGUUCUCCAGUGCGGACCCCCACGGAAGCAUCAGCAUUACCUGGAAAUGUGUAAGAAAUGCGGAUCUCUGGCCCCACCGCAGGCCUGCUGACUCAGAAACACCCAGGGUGGGGCCCGCAGCGGUGUUUGAACAAGCCCCUCAGAAGCGACUGCUCCAGGGUGAGAAGCUCCCUCCGGAUGAGCUCAAGUGAGUCAGGAACCGGAUCCCGGAGAGGCAGCAGGCGCGCUCAGGCCUCUCCCAGGACCUGCCUUCUGUUCCCAGCCAGGACAGAAACUCAAGACAGAGAGGGGCUUGAGACCACAGGCGGGGGUGCAGAGGGGCCCGGGCUGAAGAUGGCGACUGUGUUCAAGUGGCCAAGAGCAGGAGCAGCAGAAGCCGAGAGAAGCCGAGAGGAAAACGGACUUCUGAACGCGAGCUGGCGCGUCCGUGUCAGCGCGCAUGCGCGAGCAUCUAGACGGCCUCGGGGACCCGAAAGGGAAAGAUGGGGGCCGCUGCCAGGAUCCAAGGGCCAAAGAAACGGACAUCAUUUUUCCCCACUGGAUCACAUGUCCUGAUGUGUGAAUUCCGGUCCUCACGGUCCUGGUUCUACAUGGAAGCACCUGGAAGAGGCUGUGUUCUUAAGAUGUGUGGCUGGGAAGGAAAGAUCGGUUUACAAGGCUGGAUCAUAGGAAGAGGCAUGGUCCCCCAAUGACCAUGCAUUCCCACGGCCUUUGCACUUGCUGUUCCCACUGGCCAGCUCUAUCCUGUACUUCAGGCCUCAGCGGAGCUGAGAUGUCAUCUCCUCGGAGAAGCCAUUCUGACUGCCCCAUAAAAAAGUUGUUCCUCCCGCCUCUUCACCAUGUUUUAUUCCUGUACAGCCCUCGUGUCUCCCCAACAUUAUAUAAUUUUGUCAUCUGUUUCCCCCGCUAAGAUUUAAGUUUCAUGUAGGCUGAAA